rnacentral:rRNA from 1 species
GACGAACGCUGGCGACGUGCUUAACACAUGCAAGUCGAACGGAAAGGCCCUGCUUUUGUGGGGUGCUCGAGUGGCGAACGGGUGAGUAACACGUGAGUAACCUGCCCUUGACUUUGGGAUAACUUCAGGAAACUGGGGCUAAUACCGGAUAGGAGCUCCUGCUGCAUGGUGGGGGUUGGAAAGUUUCGGCGGGUGGGGAUGGACUCGCGGCUUAUCAGCUUGUGGGUGGGGUAGUGGCUUACCAAGGCUUUGACGGGUAGCCGGCCUGAGAGGGUGACCGGCCACAUUGGGACUGAGAUACGGCCCAGACUCCUACGGGAGGCAGCAGUGGGGAAUAUUGCACAAUGGGCGGAAGCCUGAUGCAGCAACGCCGCGUGCGGGAUGACGGCCUUCGGGUUGUAAACCGCUUUCGCCUGUGACGAAGCGUGAGUGACGGUAAUGGGUAAAGAAGCACCGGCUAACUACGUG